GAUCAUGGCUCAGGAUGAACGCUAUCUACAGGCUUAACACAUGCAAGUCGAGGGGCAGCGGGAUUGAAGCUUGCUUCAAUUGCCGGCGACCGGCGCACGGGUGAGUAACGCGUAUCCAACCUUCCGUACACUCAGGGAUAGCCUUUCGAAAGAAAGAUUAAUACCUGAUGGUAUGAUGAGAUUGCAUGAUAGCAUUAUUAAAGAUUUAUCGGUGUACGAUGGGGAUGCG
rnacentral:rRNA from 1 species